UGUGUGUGGGGGUGUGGCCGCCGGCUUUCCCGCGCAAACGCUCCCCCCUGACGCCCCCCCCUCACACCGCCCUCAGCCAGCGCCGCCGCCGCGGGGGCUUCGCCCGCUGCCCGCCGAGGGGCGGUUGUGGCGGCGGCCGCACGGCCCCGGAACGGGAAGCGCUGCGGGGGCCGAGCGGAGGCAGCGAGCGAGGAAGAACCGCCCCCUCCCCCCAUACACCGCUUAGCCGGGGCCGGCCCCGCGCGCGCCGCCGUUACCGCCUCGCGCCCCCCCCUCCCUUUAUGGCCGCCCCUCACCCGCCCCCCUCACGCCCUUUCCCCUCACGGCCUCGGCCAUGGCCGGGCCCUCCCGGAGAACGGCAACGGCGCCGGGAAGAGGAGGAGGAAGAGGAGGAGGAGGAGUCGCACGGGUUGAAGAGCUCGAGCUCCAAGAGACGCAAUAAGCGAUUGUGCUUUGAGUCUUGGCAGCGCCAAAUCCGUGAGCAGAGGCUGGUGCAAACAGGAGAGUGCAGGGCUACACCUCUUUGACUCCUCUCAGGUUAUGUGAAUUGUGGUUCGCACCAUCUCAUGAAGAAAGAGGGCCUGAGCUCAGGACCUGCGUUUUCCUGUGACCUUGGGUAAAGCAGUUCCCUUUACACAGCUGUAUUUUGACUGUUGUUAAAAUGGAAAUAAAGAUACCUUUUCUCUUUUCAA